UCAAAUUCAAAAAAGAGA
rnacentral:miRNA from 1 species